rnacentral:rRNA from 1 species
CUACGGGGGGCUCCAGUGGGGAAUUUUGGACAAUGGGGGCAACCCUGAUCCAGCCAUGCCGCGUGCGGGAAGAAGGCCUUCGGGUUGUAAACCGCUUUUGUCAGGGAAGAAACGCUUCGGGCUAAUACCUCGAAGUAAUGACGGUACCUGAAGAAUAAGCACCGGCUAACUACGUGCCAGCAGCCGCGGUAAUACGUAGGGUGCAAGCGUUAAUCGGAAUUACUGGGCGUAAAGCGUGCGUAGGCGGUCAUGCAAGACAGAUGUGAAAUCCCCGGGCUCAACCUGGGAACUGCAUUUGUGACUGCAUGGCUAGAGUACGGUAGAGGGGGAUGGAAUUCCGCGUGUAGCAGUGAAAUGCGUAGAUAUGCGGAGGAACACCGAUGGCGAAGGCAGUCCCCUGGACCUGUACUGACGCUCAGGUACGAAAGCGUGGGGAGCAAACAGGAUUAGAUACCCUAGUAGUC